rnacentral:lncRNA from 1 species
GGAAGGACAUAUCGCUCGAGAUUGUACGGUAGCGAAAUCAAGUCCAGGGGGACGGUGACUCAAAAGGCUGUCCCAGAAAAGUCGAAGUCAACGGUUCCUGGAAGAGCGUUUGUUGUGACUGGUCAAAAUGCGAGGAACCCAAACGAGGUGAUCACGGGUAAGCUAAUUAUUAAUUCUUGUGAAGUUUAUACCUUACUUGAUACCGGUGCUACCCAUUC